GAACUCAACAGCCCGAGCUGUGCGGUACAUCUUCCUGCACCUUCCUUCUAAAAUGUGCUCACGGGCAAGGCAGGGCAACUUGCAAACUGCAUCCCAGAUUCAGUAUUAUUUGGAGACGACACAAAACCGUGAGGUUUUCUCCGUACAGAACCACAAAACUGCAGGGGUCUCCUGGUCUCUGUGGUCGUUCAUUCACCUGCCCAAGACUCUGGAUGAAGGCACUGCCUUGGCCCCAGUUCAGGUGGCUGCACACAAAAACUUAAUGAUGAAAAAGCAAAUACAGGAGGAAAUUCUUCAAAUCCAAAAGUCCCCAUCCCUUCCUCUGCACUGUGGAGGCUGUAGCAGAAGUGUUUCACUGGAGAGUUGUUAAAGGAACUGGGCACUGAUGGCCUGCACCCUGUUCUCCCACUUCAGAGGGGCCUGGCUUGGAAAGUAUUUUAUGGUCAGUGGAAAAAAAUGAGGAAGAGGAGGGUGUGGCUGCUGCUGGGAGGCUCUGGCUCUGCAGAGGGUCACUGCCUUGUGGAGAUGGGACGUUCAGCAGGACAAAACGGAGCCACCUUUUAGGAAAUGUGUGUUGAUCCUCUGAAGCCGAAUCCUCAGGCAUUUGUGGCCCGUCCUUGCAGCCCGGUCCAGCUGGAGCCCUUGGAAGCACAUCACUCCCUGUGGAGCUGCUGCGGCGUUCCCGAGGCCUGUGCCUGCGGAUCCAGCGUGGAGAGCCCCAUCUCCAGCAGCCAGGUGGAGCAGACACCCAGGGAAAAGGGACUUCGGUGUGGGACAGAGCUCAAAUGUCAGUGCCAUGGCCUAUCAGCCUGGAUGUAGUCGCCCUGUCAGAAGUAUGAAAUUUACAGCAGAAGAAUUAAUUUAACACCAAAAAAACUCUCCCUCAUCUGAACUGUCAUUCAAAAUGCACAAUGAAAAUCACCAAGGAGAAGUUUUCUAUCCCACUGUCUGCAGGACUCCUGGAAGAAUCUUCUGAAACUUGUGGAAGUGGUCUAUUCCAAGAACUCUAAUAUAUGAAGUCUUGUUAAGGUUAAAGUCUCUGCAGGCUGAAGUUCACUUUUUGAAGAAGAAACACAGUUAACAGUAAAAUCAGGUAACACCCAAUGAUA